rnacentral:lncRNA from 1 species
UUUUCAGUAUUUUUUUUUUCUGUGGAUCUUUUUUCUUCUUCUUUUUUUCAGUAGAUUGUACCUUAGAUUUGUGCCAAGCUUUCAGAACAAAAGGGUUUAAGAUCCUUAUCUGAAUACCCUCGUCGAACCAGUUUUUUGGCAAUUCUUUGUCGGAUACUGGAAUGCCCUGAUAGGUGCAUUUAAUAUGAACUUCCCUGCUCCAAUCCCUAAAAUCUUCUGACCAUUCGGGAUUUNNNNN